rnacentral:tRNA from 1 species
GUUUUAAUAGUUUAAUAAAAAUUUUGAUUUUGUAAAUCAAAGAUAAGUUUAAUCUUUUAAAACU